rnacentral:rRNA from 1 species
UCCGUAGGCGGGCGACUAAGUCAGAGGUGAAAUCCCACAGCUUAACUGUGGAACUGCCUUUGAUACUGGUUGUCUUGAGUUAUAGUGAAGUAGAUAGAAUAUGUAGUGUAGCGGUGAAAUGCUUAGAUAUUACAUAGAAUACCGAUUGCGAAGGCAGUCUACUAACUAUAUACUGACGCUAAUGGGCGAAAGCGUGGGGAGCGAACAGGAUUAGAUACCCUGGUAGUCC